AUUGAACGCUGGCGGAAUGCUUUACACAUGCAAGUCGAACGGUAGAGGGGGCAACCCCUCGAGAGUGGCGAACGGGUGAGUAAUAUAUCGGAACGUGCCCAGUCGUGGGGGAUAACGUAGCGAAAGUUACGCUAAUACCGCAUACGAUCUAAGGAUGAAAGCGGGGGAUCGCAAGACCUCGCGCGAUUGGAGCGGCCGCUAUCAGAUUAGGUAGUUGGUGGGGUAAAGGCUCACCAAGCCAACGAUCUGUAGCUGGUCUGAGAGGACGACCAGCCACACUGGAACUGAGACACGGUCCAGACUCCUACGGGAGGCAGCAGUGGGGAAUUUUGGACAAUGGACGCAAGUCUGAUCCAGCCAUUCCGCGUGCAGGAUGAAGGCCCUCGGGUUGUAAACUGCUUUUGUACGGAACGAAAAGGUCUCUCGUAAUACGGGGGGCUCAUGACGGUACCGUAAGAAUAAGCACCGGCUAACUACGUGCCAGCAGCCGCCGUAA
rnacentral:rRNA from 1 species